CAGUGUUGUUAAUCUAGAGCUUCUCCCUCAGCCGCCACAAACUAGGGCUCCUGGAAAUCCUUGGCCACAGGUUUGGUCAUGUUUUAUGUGGCAAUGCACCUUACUCUUUCCCAUGCAUAGUUAGUCACUUCAAUUAGCACGCUUGGACCUUACUGUUAUUAACGUGGCAAAUGUAAUCAUGUUUCAUGUGGCAAUGCACCUUACUCUUUCCCAUGCAUAGUUAGUCGCCUCGAUUAGCACGCUUGCACCUUACUGUUAUUACCAUGGCAAAUGCACCUUACAUUUUCCUGUGCAUCGCAGUCACUUCAAUUAGCGGGGUUGCUUUAUGUUUAUCAUGUCCAUGAUGGGCAAUUCAGAAGCAAUAUGAUGUUUUGUCAGCUUAAAUUAGAAGGAAUUGCUCUUUCUAUACUUUCACACGAAGUUUCUAGAAUUGGCUUUAUAGUCUGAAUUAGGAUUAUAUAGUGUUCAUUAAACUUUAUUAACAUUUUCUUAUUAACUUCUUGAAUGUCAAUUUGAUAUGUCCUUUCAAUUUCUUGUUGGCAGUGGC
rnacentral:lncRNA from 1 species